rnacentral:rRNA from 1 species
GACAGAGGGUGCAAACGUUGUUCGGAAUUACUGGGCGUAAAGCGCGUGUAGGCGGCUAUGCAAGUCGGGGGUGAAAUCCCGAGGCUCAACCUCGGAACUGCCUUCGAUACUGCGGGUCUCGAGUCCGGGAGAGGUGAGUGGAAUUCCUAGUGUAGAGGUGAAAUUCGUAGAUAUUAGGAAGAACACCAGUGGCGAAGGCGGCUCACUGGCCCGGUACUGACGCUGAGGCGCGAAAGCGUGGGGAGCAAACAGG